rnacentral:lncRNA from 1 species
UUCAUGAUAAAAUUGGCAAAAUUCUGAAGCUUGAUUCAAUCAGCACUGGCCAUCAGUGGCUAGGAGUGGAUAUGUUGAUCUUCAACACUUAUCAUUGGUGGAUCCACACUGGAAAAUCUCAAACGUGUGUCAUAUAUUUUUAACUAUACAACUAUUGUUGUGUGUGUAUAUGUACAUAUAUAUAUACACAUGCACUGUAUCAAAAACCUAAAGCAUACGUGAAAAGUUUUACAUUACAGGUUACAAGUCUGAUAAGCAGAGAGUUAACCUAUUUUUGGUUUUUGAUGGCAGAUGGGAUUACUUUCAAGUGGGAAGGAAGAUUGUUAAACAGAUGGAUCGUAUGGAAGCUCUGAAGAUAGCAUUAACAACUUGGGCUAAAUGGGUGGAUUCUAACAUUGAUUUUUCAAAAACUAAAGUCUUCUUCCAAGGAGUUGCAGCAGUUCAUGUCGAGUAAGACCGAUAUAUAUAUACACACACACACCAGCAAAGACUAUAUAUCAAAGACUCCAGCGCAAUGUUGUAAGUUUAGGCAGGUUACCAAUUAAUCGAUCUCUGUUCUUCUCCAAUUCAGUGGCAGGGAAUGGGGAGAUCCAACAGCA